rnacentral:rRNA from 1 species
CGCCGCGUGGAGGAGUGAAGUAUCUUGGUACGUAAACUACCUUUCGAUGGGGAAGAUAAUAGACGGUACCCAUAGAAGAAGCCCCGGCUAACUUCGUGC